CCUACGGGGGGCUGCAGUGGGGAAUUUUCCGCAAUGGGCGAAAGCCUGACGGAGCAACGCCGCGUGAGGGAGGAAGGCUCUUGGGUUGUAAACCUCUUUUGUCAGGGAAGAAGAACUGACGGUACCUGACGAAUCAGCAUCGGCUAACUCCGUGCCAGCAGCCGCGGUAAUACGGAGGAUGCAAGCGUUAUCCGGAUUUAUUGGGCGUAAAGCGUCCGCAGGUGGUUGAGCAAGUCUGCCGUCAAAGCGUGGAGCUUAACUCCAUACCGGCGGUGGAAAC
rnacentral:rRNA from 1 species